rnacentral:rRNA from 1 species
UGGGGAAGUGGUGCUUGCACCAUGGUAACCAUGGCGGACGGGUGAGUAACGCGUAAGGAACUUGCCUGCGGGACUGGGAUAACAGCAGGAAACUGCUGAUAAUACCGGAUAAGGUCAUUAAGCUGCAUAGCUUAGUGAUGAAAGGAGACGCCUGCGGAGAGCCUUGCGUCCUAUUAGCUAGUUGGAGGGGUAACGGCCCACCAAGGCGAAGAUAGGUAGCCGGCCUGAGAGGGUGGACGGCCACAAGGGGACUGAGAUACGGCCCUUACUCCUACGGGAGGCAGCAGUGGGGAAUAUUGGACAAUGGGGGCAACCCUGAUCCAGCAAUUCUGUGUGCACGAAGACGGUUUUCGGAUUGUAAAGUGCUUUCAGCAGGGAAGAAGGAAGUGACGGUACCUGCAGAAGAAGCGACGGCUAAAUACGUGCCAGCAGCCGCGGUAAUACGUAUGUCGCGAGCGUUAUCCGGAAUUAUUGGGCAUAAAGGGCAUCUAGGCGGCCUUUCAAGUCAGGGGUGAAAACCUGCGGCUCAACCGCAGGCCUGCCUUUGAAACUGAUAGGCUGGAGUACCGGAGAGGUGGACGGAACUGCACGAGUAGAGGUGAAAUUCGUAGAUAUGUGCAGGAAUGCCGAUGAUGAAGAUAGUUCACUGGACGGUAACUGACGCUGAAGUGCGAAAGCCGGGGGAGCGAACAGGAUUAGAUACCCUGGUAGUCCCGGCCGUAAACGAUGAUUACUGGGUGUGGGCAGGAAGACUGUCUGUGCCGAAGCGAAUGCGAUAAGUAAUCCGCUGGGGAGUACGGCCGCAAGGCUG